GCCGAACUACUCCGGCUUUUGGACUCUUGCUCCACCACAGUAUGAUUGCUGGGUUAAUCGUUGGGAGGAUUCUGUUCACUGGAAUCCUGUGGCUGAGAACGGCGUCCAGCUAUGGCCACUUGCCACCAAACGACCGAGACACAGGUCUUGGAUUUUGGGAUUGUCUGCAGAGAUGAAUUGAGGGGAGCAGCUGCUGCUGGGACAGAUGUGCCAGAAGACGACUCCACCAUCGUCGGCUCCAUUGCUCUAACGCUGCACUAUGAACAGGGAGACUGGUUGGGCCGGCGACAUCACGGCUGGACCUCCACAUAGUUGGCCGGGAACAGGCCAUAGGCACCUCUGCA